rnacentral:lncRNA from 1 species
AAAAACAAGUAGUGGUUGAUCGACACUUUGGGAUGAGCGUGCAUGUCUGGUACGUCUACUCCAGCGACCUACACUUCCUUCACAGAUUUGUUCAUGCCUUUCUUUUGGUUAUUUUCUAACUAACAUGAGACUUUUAUAUAUGUAUGUAGUACUAUAACAAAUAUAGUUUUUUUGCUUCUACGUACUAUAUCCUACUAGCAUAUAUAUAUGGACUACUCACAUAUGAAAUGUUUGCAAAAUAAAAACAAACAAAGAAAAUGCGGUUUAUGAUAUUGUAUUAUUAUAAUUGAGACUUGUUUAACUUUUGUAGGAAGGAAAGAAAAGGACAACGCUCAAACAAAAGGACAACACUCACAAGGAACCAUGAAGCCAGCGAUCGUGUCAUCUGGAUAUUUAGCCUUCAUUUUGUACAACUCAUGUCUCAUACUAGCAUCUUUUAGCUGUCCUUUUUGUGAACGUGAUGUAUGGUGUCCUGGUGGUUAUGCUUGGAACAGACUAAAGCCUGUGUAUGUGACAAUUAAUUAGUGGAAUAAAAAAUG